AACGCACCUUGCGCUCCUUGGUAUUCCGAGGAGCAUGCCUGUUUGAGUGUCAUGAAAUUCUCAACCUUUUCACCUUGAUUAGGUUUGGAUGUGGGAGUCUGCGGGCUUUUCUUAAGUCGGCUCUCCUUAAAUGUAUUAGCGGGGACCUUUUGGUUACCCCAGCCCUAGUGUGAUAAUUAUCUACGCUAUUGCUGAAGUGACUUGGUCCAGCUUCUAAUCGUCUCUUCUGAGACAAAUCUAUAUGACAAUUUGACCUCAAAUCAGGUAGGACUACCCGCUGAACUUAA
rnacentral:misc_RNA from 1 species